ACACAUGCAAGUCGAGCGGUAAGGCCUUUCGGGGUACACGAGCGGCGAACGGGUGAGUAACACGUGGGUGAUCUGCCCUGCACUCUGGGAUAAGCUUGGGAAACUGGGUCUAAUACCGGAUAUGACCACAGNAUGCAUGUGUUGUGGUGGAAAGAUUUAUCGGUGCAGGAUGGGCCCGCGGCCUAUCAGCUUGUUGGUGGGGUAAUGGCCUACCAAGGCGACGACGGGUAGCCGACCUGAGAGGGUGACCGGCCACACUGGGACUGAGACACGGCCCAGACUCCUACGGGAGGCAGCAGUGGGGAAUAUUGCACAAUGGGCGGAAGCCUGAUGCAGCGACGCCGCGUGAGGGAUGAAGGCCUUCGGGUUGUAAACCUCUUUCAGCAGGGACGAAGCGUGAGUGACGGUACCUGCAGAAGAAGCACCGGCUAACUACGUGCCAGCAGCCGCGGUAAUACGUAGGGUGCGAGCGUUGUCCGGAAUUACUGGGCGUAAAGAGUUCGUAGGCGGUUUGUCGCGUCGUUUGUGAAAACCCGGGGCUCAACUUCGGGCUUGCAGGCGAUACGGGCAGACUUGAGUGUUUCAGGGGAGACUGGAAUUCCUGGUGUAGCGGUGAAAUGCGCAGAUAUCAGGAGGAACACCGGUGGCGAAGGCGGGUCUCUGGGAAACAACUGACGCUGAGGAACGAAAGCGUGGGUAGCAAACAGGAUUAGAUACCCUGGUAGUCCACGCCGUAAACGGUGGGCGCUAGGUGUGGGUUCCUUCCACGGGAUCUGUGCCGUA
rnacentral:rRNA from 1 species